CAACCUCAACUCAUAUGGGACUACCCCCUGAAUUUAAGCAUAUUAAUUAGGGGAGGAAAAGAAACUAACAAGGAUUUUCUUAGUAGCGGCGAGCGAAAAGAAAUCAGUUCAGCACUAAGUCACUUUGUCUAUAUGGCAAAUGUGAGAUGCAGUGUAUGGAGCGUCAAUAUUCUAGUAUGAGAAAUUAACGAUUUAAGUCCUUCUUAAAUGAGGCCAUUUACCCAUAGAGGGUGCCAGGCCCGUAUAACGUUAAUGAUUACUAGAUGAUGUUUCCAAAGAGUCGUGUUGCUUGAUAGUGCAGCACUAAGUGGGUGGUAAACUCCAUCUAAAACUAAAUAUAACCAUGAGACCGAUAGUAAACAAGUACCGUGAGGGAAAGUUGAAAAGAACUCUGAAUAGAGAGUUAAACAGUACGUGAAACUGCUUAGAGGUUAAGCCCGAUGAACCUGAAUAUCCAUUAUGGAAAAUUCAUCAUUAAAAUUUUAAUAUUUAAACAAUAUUAUGAUAAUAGUGUGCAUUUUUUCCAUAUAAGGACAUUGUAAUCUAUUAACAUACAAAAUUUAUCAUAAAAUAUGGCUUAUAGUUUAUUCCAAUUAAAAUGCUUGCGUUUUAACACAGAUUAAAUGUCAUUAAUUUGAUAAAGUGUUGAUAGAUUUAUAUGAAUACAGUGCGUUAAUUUUUCGGAAUUAUAUAAUGGCAUAAUUAUCAUUGAUUUUUGUGUUUAUUAUAAGCAUUUGUAUGAUUAACAAUGCGAAAGAUUCAGGAUACCUUCGGGACCCGUCUUGAAACACGGACCAAGGAGUCUAACAUAUGUGCAAGUUAUUGGGAUAUAAACCUAAUAGCGUAAUUAACUUGACUAUUAAUGGGAUUAGUUUUUUAACUAUUUAUAGCUAAUUAACACAAUCCCGGGGCGUUCUAUAUAGUUAUGUAUAAUGAUAUUUAUAUUAUUUAUGCCUCUAACUGGAACGUACCUUGAGCAGAUAUGCUGUGACCCGAAAGAUGGUGAACUAUACUUGAUCAGGUUGAAGUCAGGGGAAACCCUGAUGGAAGACCGAAACAGUUCUGACGUGCAAAUCGAUUGUCAGAAUUGAGUAUAGGGGCGAAAGACCAAUCGAACCAUCUAGUAGCUGGUUCCUUCCGAAGUUUCCCUCAGGAUAGCUGGUGCAUUUUAAUGUUAUAUAAAAUAAUCUUAUCUGGUAAAGCGAAUGAUUAGAGGCCUUAGGGUCGAAACGAUCUUAACCUAUUCUCAAACUUUAAAUGGGUAAGAACCUUAACUUUCUUGAUAUGAAGUUUAAGGUUAUGAUAUAAUGUGCCCAGUGGGCCACUUUUGGUAAGCAGAACUGGCGCUGUGGGAUGAACCAAACGUAAUGUUACGGUGCCCAAAUUAACAACUCAUGCAGAUACCAUGAAAGGCGUUGGUUGCUUAAAACAGCAGGACGGUGAUCAUGGAAGUCGAAAUCCGCUAAGGAGUGUGUAACAACUCACCUGCCGAAGCAACUAGCCCUUAAAAUGGAUGGCGCUUAAGUUGUAUACCUAUACAUUACCGCUAAAGUAGAUGAUUUAUGUUACUUGUAAUAUAAAUUUUGAAACUUUAGUGAGUAGGAAGGUACAAUGGUAUGCGUAGAAGUGUUUGGCGUAAGCCUGCAUGGAGCUGCCAUUGGUACAGAUCUUGGUGGUAGUAGCAAAUAAUCGAAUGAGACCUUGGAGGACUGAAGUGGAGAAGGGUUUCGUGUGAACAGUGGUUGAUCACGAGUUAGUCGGUCCUAAGUUCAAGGCGAAAGCCGAAAAUUUUCAAGUAAAACCAAAAAGCGAAUAUAUAUAUAUACAAAUAAUGCCAAUAAUAAUAUACUUGAAUAAUUUUGAACGAAAGGGAAUACGGUUCCAAUUCCGUAACCUGUUGAGUAUCCGUUUGUUAUUAAAUAUGGGCCUCGUGCUCAUCCUGGCAACAGGAACGACCAUAAAGAAGCCGUCGAGAGAUAUCGGAAGAGUUUUCUUUUCUGUUUUAUAGCCGUACUACCAUGGAAGUCUUUCGCAGAGAGAUAUGGUAGAUGGGCUAGAAGAGCAUGACAUAUACUGUUGUGUCGAUAUUUUCUCCUCGGACCUUGAAAAUUUAUGGUGGGGACACGCAAACUUCUCAACAGGCCGUACCAAUAUCCGCAGCUGGUCUCCAAGGUGAAGAGUCUCUAGUCGAUAGAAUAAUGUAGGUAAGGGAAGUCGGCAAAUUAGAUCCGUAACUUCGGGAUAAGGAUUGGCUCUGAAGAUUGAGAUAGUCGGGCUUGAUUGGGAAACAAUAACAUGGUUUAUGUGCUCGUUCUGGGUAAAUAGAGUUUCUAUCAUUUAUGGUGGUAACUUGUUCCCCGGAUAGUUUAGUUUGUAGCCAAUUGUGGAACUUUCUUGCUAAAAUUUUUAAGAAUACUAAUUGGGUCAAACCAAUUAGUUCUUAUUAAUUAUAACGAUUAUCAAUUAACAAUCAAUUCAGAACUGGCACGGACUUGGGGAAUCCGACUGUCUAAUUAAAACAAAGCAUUGUGAUGGCCCUAGCGGGUGUUGACACAAUGUGAUUUCUGCCCAGUGCUCUGAAUGUCAAAGUGAAGAAAUUCAAGUAAGCGCGGGUCAACGGCGGGAGUAACUAUUAGGAUAUGCCGAAAUCUCUUAAGGGAGGUGCCGUCAGGCAUUAUGCUUCGCAUAAUGAACCUAAUUCUAUGGUGCGGAAAAUUACCACGCUCUAUCCGACUAGCCAGAACCAUCUUCAUCCCGAAGAUGGCGACGGCAAAACGACCGCAAGACUUUCGUCCAAUAUCGGUGCCUUCAGUCUUGGUAAGACAGUUAAAUGCAAUUUUAGCAACCCGAUUGGCCUCAUCAGUCAAUUGGGACCCGAGUCAGCGGGGCUUCUUACCGACAGACGGAUGUGCCGAUAAUGCGACGAUAGUUGACUUAGUUCUGAGGAGUAGCCAUAAAAGCUUUAGCUCUUGCUACAUUGCCAAUCUGGAUGUAAGCAAGGCAUUUGACUCUUUGUCUCAUGCAGCUAUUGUAAACACCCUAAAAGCUUAUGGCGCACCGAAGGGCUUCGUUGACUACGUACAGCAUUCGUACGAGGUUGGGGGUACCAGUCUCUGCGGAGAAGGUUGGUGUUCAGAGGAAUUCGUCCCUGCUAGAGGAGUGAAGCAGGGCGACCCUUUGUCGCCUAUUCUAUUUAAUCUGGUUAUCGACAGGUUACUUAGAGCCUUUCCCAAAGAAAUUGGUGCCAAGGUCGGUACUGCUAUGACAAACGCGGCCGCGUUUGCUGACGAUUUAGUCCUUUUUGCGGAAACUCGUUUAGGAUUACAAACUUUGCUGGAUAAGACAGUUGACUUUCUAGCCACUGUCGGUCUCCAACUUAAUGCUGAUAAGUGUUUUACUGUCGGUAUUAAGGGUCAGCCGAAGCAGAAGUGUACUGUGUUAGACCCACAGAGCUUCCGUGUAGGCUUGAACGGAUGUCCAGCAUUGAAACGUAUAGACGAGUGGAAGUAUUUAGGUAUUAAGUUUAAUGCAAGCGGGAGAGUGAAAUGCAAUCCGGCGGAGGACGUAGGUCCAAAGCUACAAAGAUUGUCCGAAGCUCCCCUAAAGCCUCAACAGAAGUUAUUUGCCCUCCGAACCGUCCUCAUCCCACAACUCUAUCACAAGCUUACCCUUGGGAGUGUGACGAUAGGCGCGUUACGGAAAUUUGACAAAUUAAUACGAUUCUAUGUGCGUAAAUGGUUAGGUUUACCACCGGAUGUGCCGAUAGCAUUCGUUCAUGCCCCCCCAAAAUGUGGGGGACUCGGGAUUCCAUCAUUGCGAUGGAUGGCACCGAUGCUUCGCCUACGACGUUUGAGCAACAUAAAAUGGCCCCACUUCGACCAAUCCGAAGUAGCCAGCUCUUUCAUCGAAACCGAAAUGCAGAAGGCCCGAGUUAGGUUGCUAGCUGAACAAAAUGAAUUGUUAUCGCGUCCGGCAAUAGAAAAGUUUUGGGCAGAUAGAUUGUACAUGUCUGUUGAUGGUAACGGUCUCCGUGAAGCGGGUCAUUAUGGCCCGCAACACGGAUGGGUAAGUCAACCCACGCGUUUGCUAACAGGAAAGGAAUACGUUGACGGUAUUAAACUGCGGAUAAAUGCCCUACCCACAAAGUCUCGUACUACGAGGGGAAGGCACGAAUUGGAUCGACAGUGUCGUGCAGGAUGUGAUGCUCCCGAAACAACAAACCACAUCAUGCAAAAAUGCUAUCGCUCGCAUGGGAGGCGAGUAGCUAGACACAACUGCGUAGUAAAUCGAAUCAAGCGGGGACUUGAGGAGAGAGGCUGCGUGGUCAUUGUUGAACCAAGUCUGCAGGGAGAAUCCGGCCUUCGUAAACCAGACCUGGUAGUAGUCCGACCAAAUCACAUUGAUGUGAUUGACGUUCAGGUUACGACAGACGGACACCCUUUGGAUGAUGCGCAUCAACGCAAAAUCCAAAAAUACGAUACACCGGACAUACGAACGGAAUUGCGGCGCAAGUUCGUAGGCGAAUAUGAUAUUGAGUUCCAUUCUGCCACUAUUAAUUGGAGGGGGAUCUGGAGUGGUCAAUCGGUCAAACGGUUGAUUGCGAAGGGUCUCCUUAGCAAAUAUGAUAGCCAUAUCAUAAGCAUCCAAGUGAUGCGAGGCAGUCUUAGCUGCUUCAGACAGUUUAUGUAUCUAAGUGGAUACUCAAGAGAUUAUGUAGCUUGAAGUCGUUGGUACAUAUGAAAUAACGCCUGCUGCCUCGGCAAAAAAAAAAGAAGGCAUAAACAUCGCUUAAGUAGUAAUCAUAUAAUAUAAGGAUGGUUUUAGUACGUAGGCAUUGCAGAACCCUCAACGUGAAGAAGGUUCUAAUAAAGCAGUGAAUCGUGCAUGCUAGACAUUACCCGACCACACAAGGUGAUGGCGGACCUAGUAUCUUUCGAAGAUUUCCAUACCUUAGCGAUCAAAAAAAAAAAAAAAAAAAAUAGCCAAAUGCCUCGUCAUCUAAUUAGUGACGCGCAUGAAUGGAUUAACGAGAUUCCUACUGUCCCUAUCUACUAUCUAGCGAAACCACAGCCAAGGGAACGGGCUUGGAAUAAUUAGCGGGGAAAGAAGACCCUUUUGAGCUUGACUCUAAUCUGGCAGUGUAAGGAGACAUAAGAGGUGUAGAAUAAGUGGGAGAUAUUAGACCUCGGUUUGGUAUCGCCAAUGAAAUACCACUACUCUUAUUGUUUCCUUACUUACUUGAUUAAAUGGAACGUGUAUCAUUUCCUAGCCAUUAUACGGAUAUAUUUAUUAUAUCUUAUGGUAUUGGGUUUUGAUGCAAGCUUCUUGAUCAAAGUAUCACGAGUUUGUUAUAUAAUCGCAAACAAAUUCUUUAAUAAAACAGUGCAUUUAUGUAUUUUUGAUUUGAAAAUUUGGUAUAACUCCAAUUACUCAGGUAUGAUCCAAUUCAAGGACAUUGCCAGGUAGGGAGUUUGACUGGGGCGGUACAUCUCUCAAAUAAUAACGGAGGUGUCCCAAGGCCAGCUCAGUGCGGACAGAAACCACACAUAGAGCAAAAGGGCAAAUGCUGACUUGAUCUCGGUGUUCAGUACACACAGGGACAGCAAAAGCUCGGCCUAUCGAUCCUUUUGGUUUAAAGAGUUUUUAACAAGAGGUGUCAGAAAAGUUACCAUAGGGAUAACUGGCUUGUGGCGGCCAAGCGUUCAUAGCGACGUCGCUUUUUGAUCCUUCGAUGUCGGCUCUUCCUAUCAUUGUGAAGCAAAAUUCACCAAGCGUUGGAUUGUUCACCCAUGCAAGGGAACGUGAGCUGGGUUUAGACCGUCGUGAGACAGGUUAGUUUUACCCUACUAAUGACAAAACGUUGUUGCGACAGCAUUCCUGCGUAGUACGAGAGGAACCGCAGGUACGGACCAAUGGCACAAUACUUGUUCGAGCGAACAGUGGUAUGACGCUACGUCCGUUGGAUUAUGCCUGAACGCCUCUAAGGUCGUAUCCGUGCUGGACUGCAAUGAUAAAUAAGGGGCAAUUUGCAUUGUAUGGCUUCUAAACCAUUUAAAGUUUAUAUUCAUUUAUGAACGACAAUGGAUGUGAUGCCAAUGUAAUUUGUAACAUAGUAAAUUGGGAGGAUCUUCGAUCACCUGAUGCCGCGCUAGUUACAUAUAAAAACAUUAUUUAAUACAAUGACAAAGCCUAGAAUCAAUUGUAAACGACUUUUGUAACAGGCAAGGUGUUGUAAGUGGUUGAGCAGCUGCCAUACUGCGAUCCACUGAAGCUUAUCCUUUGCUUGAUGAUUCGA